AACCCAGUGUGACUCGUCACACUAUCAUUAACUGAAUCCAUAGGUUAAUGAGGCGAACCGGGGGAACUGAAACAUCUAAGUACCCCGAGGAAAAGAAAUCAACCGAGAUUCCCCCAGUAGCGGCGAGCGAACGGGGAGGAGCCCAGAGCCUGAAUCAGCAUGUGUGUUAGUGGAAGCGUCUGGAAAGGCGCGCGAUACAGGGUGACAGCCCCGUACACAAAAGCGCAUGUGCUGUGAGCUCGAUGAGUAGGGCGGGACACGUGGUAUCCUGUCUGAAUAUGGGGGGACCAUCCUCCAAGGCUAAAUACUCCUGACUGACCGAUAGUGAACCAGUACCGUGAGGGAAAGGCGAAAAGAACCCCGGCGAGGGGAGUGAAAAAGAACCUGAAACCGUGUACGUACAAGCAGUGGGAGCCCCACCACCAAAGCAUUUGCUGUACCGCGUUGACGGAGCGAAGCGACGUCAAACCGAUAAAACAGCAGUGUAAAGUGAGCCGCAGGGCGCUUUGCGCGACAGCGCAAAGGCAGGCGGUUUCGCGUAGCGAAAGCGAAUGCUUUGGGGUGGGGUGACUGCGUACCUUUUGUAUAAUGGGUCAGCGACUUAUAUUCUGUAGCAAGGUUAACCGAAUAGGGGAGCCGGAGGGAAACCGAGUCUUAAUUGGGCGUUAAGUUGCAGGGUAUAGACCCGAAACCCGGUGAUCUAGCCAUGGGCAGGUUGAAGGUUGGGUAACACUAACUGGAGGACCGAACCGACUAAUGUUGAAAAAUUAGCGGAUGACCUGUGGCUGGGGGUGAAAGGCCAAUCAAACCGGGAGAUAGCUGGUUCUCCCCGAAAGCUAUUUAGGUAGCGCCUCGUGAAUUCAUCUCCGGGGGUAGAGCACUGUUUCGGCUAGGGGGCCAUCCCGGCUUACCAACCCGAUGCAAACUGCGAAUACCGGAGAAUGUUAUCACGGGAGACACACGGCGGGUGCUAACGUCCGUCGUGAAGAGGGAAACAACCCAGACCGCCAGCUAAGGUCCCAAAGUCAUGGUUAAGUGGGAAACGAUGUGGGAAGGCCCAGACAGCCAGGAUGUUGGCUUAGAAGCAGCCAUCAUUUAAAGAAAGCGUAAUAGCUCACUGGUCGAGUCGGCCUGCGCGGAAGAUGUAACGGGGCUAAACCAUGCACCGAAGCUGCGGCAGCGACACUGUGUGUUGUUGGGUAGGGGAGCGUUCUGUAAGCCUGUGAAGGUGUGUCGUGAGGCAUGCUGGAGGUAUCAGAAGUGCGAAUGCUGACAUAAGUAACGAUAAAGCGGGUGAAAAGCCCGCUCGCCGGAAGACCAAGGGUUCCUGUCCAACGUUAAUCGGGGCAGGGUGAGUCGACCCCUAAGGCGAGGCCGAAAGGCGUAGUCGAUGGGAAACGGGUUAAUAUUCCCGUACUUGGUGUUACUGCGAAGGGGGGACGGAGAAGGCUAUGUUGGCCGGGCGACGGUUGUCCCGGUUUAAGCGUGUAGGUGUGUGUUCCAGGUAAAUCCGGUUCACUUUAACACUGAGGCGUGACGACGAGGCACUACGGUGCUGAAGCAACAAAUGCCCUGCUUCCAGGAAAAGCCUCUAAGCAUCAGGUAACAUCAAAUCGUACCCCAAACCGACACAGGUGGUCAGGUAGAGAAUACCAAGGCGCUUGAGAGAACUCGGGUGAAGGAACUAGGCAAAAUGGUGCCGUAACUUCGGGAGAAGGCACGCUGACACGUAGGUGAAGUGAUUUACUCAUGGAGCUGAAGUCAGUCGAAGAUACCAGCUGGCUGCAACUGUUUAUUAAAAACACAGCACUGUGCAAACACGAAAGUGGACGUAUACGGUGUGACGCCUGCCCGGUGCCGGAAGGUUAAUUGAUGGGGUCAGCGCAAGCGAAGCUCCUGAUCGAAGCCCCGGUAAACGGCGGCCGUAACUAUAACGGUCCUAAGGUAGCGAAAUUCCUUGUCGGGUAAGUUCCGACCUGCACGAAUGGCGUAAUGAUGGCCAGGCUGUCUCCACCCGAGACUCAGUGAAAUUGAACUCGCUGUGAAGAUGCAGUGUACCCGCGGCAAGACGGAAAGACCCCGUGAACCUUUACUAUAGCUUGACACUGAACAUUGAGCCUUGAUGUGUAGGAUAGGUGGGAGGCUUUGAAGUGUGGACGCCAGUCUGCAUGGAGCCGACCUUGAAAUACCACCCUUUAAUGUUUGAUGUUCUAACGUGGACCCGUUACCCGGGUUGCGGACAGUGUCUGGUGGGUAGUUUGACUGGGGCGGUCUCCUCCUAAAGAGUAACGGAGGAGCACGAAGGUUGGCUAAUCCUGGUCGGACAUCAGGAGGUUAGUGCAAUGGCAUAAGCCAGCUUGACUGCGAGCGUGACGGCGCGAGCAGGUGCGAAAGCAGGUCAUAGUGAUCCGGUGGUUCUGAAUGGAAGGGCCAUCGCUCAACGGAUAAAAGGUACUCCGGGGAUAACAGGCUGAUACCGCCCAAGAGUUCAUAUCGACGGCGGUGUUUGGCACCUCGAUGUCGGCUCAUCACAUCCUGGGGCUGAAGUAGGUCCCAAGGGUAUGGCUGUUCGCCAUUUAAAGUGGUACGCGAGCUGGGUUUAGAACGUCGUGAGACAGUUCGGUCCCUAUCUGCCGUGGGCGCUGGAGAACUGAGGGGGGCUGCUCCUAGUACGAGAGGACCGGAGUGGACGCAUCACUGGUGUUCGGGUUGUCAUGCCAAUGGCACUGCCCGGUAGCUAAAUGCGGAAGAGAUAAGUGCUGAAAGCAUCUAAGCACGAAACUUGCCCCGAGAUGAGUUCUCCCUGAGACUUUAGGUCUCCUGAAGGAACGUUGAAGACGACGACGUUGAUAGGCCGGGUGUGUAAGCGCAGCGAUGCGUUGAGCUAACCGGUACUAAUGAACCGUGAGGCUUAACCUUACAACGCCGAAG
rnacentral:rRNA from 1 species